rnacentral:rRNA from 1 species
UACGGAGGGUGCAAACGUUGCUCGGAAUCAUUGGGCGUAAAGCGCACGUAGGCGGCUAGAUAAGUCGGGUGUGAAAGCCCCGGGCUCAACCUGGGAAUUGCAUUCGAGACUGCUCUGCUAGGGUGCGGAAGAGGGGAGCGGAAUUUCCGGUGUAGCGGUGAAAUGCGUAGAUAUCGGAAGGAACACCAGUGGCGAAAGCGGCUCCCUGGUCCAGCACCGACGUCAGGCACGAAAGCGUGGGGAGCAAACAGG